rnacentral:rRNA from 1 species
GACUUAGAUGCUCGAGUUUUUCAGCAGAUUGUACACACCGCCCGUCACACCAUGGAAGCU